rnacentral:rRNA from 1 species
GAUGAACGCUGGCGGCGUGCCUAAUACAUGCAAGUCGAGCGAACGGACGAGAAGCUUGCUUCUCUGAUGUUAGCGGCGGACGGGUGAGUAACACGCGGAUAACCUACCUAUAAGACUGGGAUAACUUCGGGAAACCGGAGCUAAUACCGGAUAAUAUUUUGAACCGCAUGGUUCAAAAGUAAAAGACGGUCUUGCUGUCACUUAUAGAUGGAUCCGCGCUGCAUUAGCUAGUUGGUAAGGUAACGGCUUACCAAGGCAACGAUGCAUAGCCGACCUGAGAGGGUGAUCGGCCACACUGGAACUGAGACACGGUCCAGACUCCUACGGGAGGCAGCAGUAGGGAAUCUUCCGCAAUGGGCGAAAGCCUGACGGAGCAACGCCGCGUGAGUGAUGAAGGUCUUCGGAUCGUAAAACUCUGUUAUUAGGGAAGAAUAUAUGUGUAAGUAACUGUGCACAUCUUGACGGUACCUAAUCAGAAAGCCACGGCUAACUACGUGCCAGCAGCCGCGGUAAUACGUAGGUGGCAAGCGUUAUCCGGAAUUAUUGGGCGUAAAGCGCGCGUAGGCGGUUUUUUAAGUCUGAUGUGAAAGCCCACGGCUCAACCGUGGAGGGUCAUUGGAAACUGGAAAACUUGAGUGCAGAAGAGGAAAGUGGAAUUCCAUGUGUAGCGGUGAAAUGCGCAGAGAUAUGGAGGAACACCAGUGGCGAAGGCGACUUUCUGGUCUGUAACUGACGCUGAUGCGCGAAAGCGUGGGGAUCAAACAGGAUUAGAUACCCUGGUAGUCCACGCCGUAAACGAUGAGUGCUAAGUGUUAGGGGGUUUCCGCCCCUUAGUGCUGCAGCUAACGCAUUAAGCACUCCGCCUGGGGAGUACGACCGCAAGGUUGAAACUCAAAGGAAUUGACGGGGACCCGCACAAGCGGUGGAGCAUGUGGUUUAAUUCGAAGCAACGCGAAGAACCUUACCAAAUCUUGACAUCCUUUGACAACUCUAGAGAUAGAGCCUUCCCCUUCGGGGGACAAAGUGACAGGUGGUGCAUGGUUGUCGUCAGCUCGUGUCGUGAGAUGUUGGGUUAAGUCCCGCAACGAGCGCAACCCUUAAGCUUAGUUGCCAUCAUUAAGUUGGGCACUCUAAGUUGACUGCCGGUGACAAACCGGAGGAAGGUGGGGAUGACGUCAAAUCAUCAUGCCCCUUAUGAUUUGGGCUACACACGUGCUACAAUGGACAAUACAAAGGGCAGCGAAACCGUGAGGUCAAGCAAAUCCCAUAAAGUUGUUCUCAGUUCGGAUUGUAGUCUGCAACUCGACUACAUGAAGCUGGAAUCGCUAGUAAUCGUAGAUCAGCAUGCUACGGUGAAUACGUUCCCGGGUCU